rnacentral:lncRNA from 1 species
AGUGUGCAAUGUUAGAGGCCAUGUACAGGAUUGACUCUCAGGCCCACAGAUUUUUACUCAGAGUAACCCUGACCUGCUCCAGUGCCUUUUUUCCUGGGGGAAGGAGCCUAGAGCACUCAACAUUCAUGCAAUCAGACAUGCCUCUCAGAGACAGUCUAACAGCUUCCAAACUAAUCUCUGUGUAGUACUUAGUCUCACAACUCUCACAGGCGACAGCUUCAGGCUCCAAUUUUUCUAUGUGUCUAGCCUGGGAUGACUGUUUAGUUUCCAAUGUGGCGAAAAUGUAUAUUACCAUGUCGGAAGCACAGACUACAGCAAUCUAUAAAUGAUUCGUGGCAUGAGACUGAUGGCCAAAUUUAGGGAGAGGGGAAUGAUCUUACUUAAGCAUUUUAUGGAAAUCGAGUCUCUUUCCUGAGAUGAGGGUGAUGAAGCAGCAUCUAAAUCUGACUCUUCUCCAGUAACCUGCUUGUUAUCGCCAACGUCUAGCCAAUGGUAAUGAACUGAAACAGAUGCACUUGAAAUAGAUAAAUCAAUUUGAGAUUUAACAAAUUGGGUCAAUUUCUGAAAUGCCCAAGGACCAAAGGAAAUCAAUAAUAGGAGUACCAAUAGGGGCCCCAAAGGGGAGGGCAACAAGGUCGAAAGCCAGGGGGAGAUUGAAAACCAAUUUUGAUACCAUAGCUCUUGUUCUCUUUCUCUUUUUCUUUUUUCUAAACUGGCAGUAACCUUGGCAAUGCUAUCUUUAACUAAUCGACACAAGGGCUGCGAUUCUGGUCCAGGUCCCAGUUCCAGCAGCACCCAGGCCAAGAAGGACCACAAGGGUCACCUUUGAGAUAGGCUCUCUUUAGUGGCGGGAUGGCAAGGAGGCACCUCAAUCCCAAAACUUCAGUAAGUCAUCUGACUCAUGAAAACUAAAUUUUGGAAAAAGCUGAAAUAAGACACAAUAAUCUCUAUUAUUUAUAAAAUCUUGUAUAAUAAUGUACUGUAUAAGGCCCUUGGAACAUGCAAAAUAGGUAUCAUUUUGGGCAAGAAGAUAAGAAAACCCAUUUUUAUUUUUUUUUUUCCAUUUUUUAUUAGGUAUUUAGCUCAUUUACAUUUCCAAUGCUAUACCAACAGUCCCCCAUACCCACCCACCCCCACUCCCCUACCCACCCACUCCCCCUUUUUGGCCCUGGCGUUCCCCUGUACUGGGGCAUAUAAAGUUUGCGUGUCCAAUGGGCCUCUCUUUCCAGUGAUGGCCGACUAGGCCAUCUUUUGAUACAUAUGCAGCUAGAGUCAAGAGCUCCGGGGUACUGGUUAGUUCCUAAUGUUCCACCUAUAGGGUUGCAGAGCUGGUUGGCAUCUGAAAACAGGGUAAAAUUUCCAAAUAAGGCUAUGCCCUCAUAAAAGGCUGGGGAAGCAGAAAAGCACAUCCAACAAUCUUCAUAUUCUGUUGCAUUAUCACUUUGUGUCUUAUCCAACAAGGCUAAAGCAGAAUCAUUCAAUAUAGACCACAGUAAAUCAGUGCAAGAGGGGGGACCCCACAGGGAAAGUGGACUGAAAUAGGGUCGUUGCAUGCCCUGGGGCAGAAACAGGGGGCAGGUACCUGGAAGUCUGGGAUUGUUUGGGGAUUUAGGGUGAUGUAAUUGAGAAUUAGGUCCUAUGGAUGCUUUAUGAUUGUUAGGGGUGGUUUUAAGAAGCUGAACCUUAAAGGUCAGGCCAUUAUCAUACUUAUCUUGAUCCAAUCUGAGGCAAGAGGGUGAGAACUUUUCCAAGCCUCUAAGUUCUUCCCCAUAGAUUCACAGGAAGACUUUAACCACAAAGGGUUGAACAGUUCCAGUAUUGUUUUCUUUGUCUGACCAUGUUAGCAGUCUGGAGCUUUGUAAAGUGUCCUGUGUUUGACCUAUGCCUUUUAAAUGAGUGGCAGUGGGCUGUAAGGGACAGGCUGUGGGCCAAUGUGUUGAGGAAAUUACUUUCACAUCUGCCCUGGUAUCCAGGAGCCCUUAAAACUGUUUGCCCUCUAGAAACAAAGUCAGCAUGCGCCGUGAAUCAGUUAUUUUCCGUACCCAGUAGACUUCUGAGGAUCCCGGGGAGGAUGGUUCUUGCUCCUCUUUCAUAUAAGGAAAAUAGCCGAAUAGUGGGAGUGGUAGGGCUUGGGCUAUGUGCUCUCCAGCCCUAAGGGAAGUGGUCCCUGUGUGACUGUGACUAAGAUUUUUAACUCUCCAUGGUUGUCGGUAUCAACCACUGUAGGAGUCAAUGUUAGGCCUUGUAAAACUCUGGACACUCAGCCGAUGACAAGAAACUUCUUUUGGGGAGGGGGUCCAAGUUCACUUGUUUCGAUGACCACAGUUCCCUCCUCAGGAGUUAUAAUCCAGGUAGUGGAGGAACACAGGUCCAAUCCUUUGUUCCCUGCCGUGGCCCUACACAAUCUCCCGUGGGGGUUAGGGGGUUGUCUACAGUUGUCAUCAGGGGAGACGUGCCCUGCAGGGGGGCCCUCUGGCCAUUUCAGUGGACCGCAGGGAGUGGGUGGCUGUUGAUAUCAAACUUAGAUCUGCAAUCUUUGCCCAAUGGAGGCCUCUCUUGUACUUAGGGCAAAGACCGUGGGGGGGGGUUGUUGGGUAACAGGCAUAGUUGAGAGUGGGGUUCUCUGUCUUUGUGUAGGGCAUCCUCUAGCAAAAUAUCCAGGUUGGUUGCAUCUGUAGCAAGUUUUUUUCUCCUUUAUUUAUUUGUUUCUGAGAGGGACCUUUGCGACCAGUUUGAGGAUUUUUAGAGAUGGGACCUUGAAGGUUCCCCAUGAGGGCUUUUUGUAGACUCUGAAUCUCUAGACUGACGUCUUGUAGCUCCUUUUGAAGCACUAGAACAUCUUUAAGAUUGGUGAUCUGAGUCUGAAGUUCUCUUUUAGUUUGAAGUAAUCGCUGAAUGGAUGAAGGGGCCAGCAAUACAGGCCGAGGAUUAGGCUGAGGAUUAGGGGGAGAGGGGGGCAAAUAAGGAGGAGGGUGGAAAUUGAAGGGCUCGAUGGUAAGAUAGGCACGGAGCCUGGAACCAUAGUGGUCUCGUUCAUAUUUAAAGGCUUCCUCAUCCAAUUCUGUCUCUGAGGCAGGAUUGAGGGGUUCAUCUGACAACUCCUUAUACAAAAUGGGGUAAAUUCUUUUUGGUCUAACAGGGGGUUGAGCAGUAGCCGCUUUUCUAGAAUCUAAUCUAAUUUGGGGAGAAAGAGGGAGAGGCAGGGAGUCCUUAGGGACUGGGGCAUCUAUAAUCGAUGAUGGCCAAAACUGAAGAUUCACCAGUGGCUUAGUUUCGCUUUUGUGAUUCAGCAAUUGGGAGUUUUCUAAAAAUUCUUCAGUAAGGACUAGGAGGCAAUGUCUUCUCCACCCUCUUCUGCCUGUUUAAGGAGAUCUCUGACGAUUCCCCAAUAGCUAAAAAAGGACUCAGGGAUAUCUUCUCCUUGUUUUAUUAAAGUAUUGAUAUCUUUGCCUAUUUCAGGGCCAUUCAAUGCCAGCCAUGGACAUCUCUCACCCACCAAAC